rnacentral:rRNA from 1 species
CAGCCGCCGCGGGAACACGAAGGGGGCUAGCGUUGUUCGGAUUUACUGGGCGUAAAGCGCACGUAGGCGGAUCGAUCAGUCAGGGGUGAAAUCCCAGAGCUCAACUCUGGAACUGCCUUUGAUACUGUCGAUCUGGAGUAUGGAAGAGGUGAGUGGAAUUCCGAGUGUAGAGGUGAAAUUCGUAGAUAUUCGCAAGAACACCAGUGGCGAAGGCGGCUCACUGGCCCGGUACUGACGCUGAGGCGCGAAAGCGUGGGGAGCAAACAGGAUUAGAUACCCGCGUAGUCCCUGUCUCUUAUAC